GUGCCUUUAGGUUCGGAAUAACUCAGGGAAACUUGUGCUAAUACCGAAUGUGCCCUUCGGGGGAAAGAUUUAUCGCCUUUAGAGCGGCCCGCGUCUGAUUAGCUAGUUGGUGAGGUAAAGGCUCACCAAGGCGACGAUCAGUAGCUGGUCUGAGAGGAUGACCAGCCACAUUGGGACUGAGACACGGCCCAAACUCCUACGGGAGGCAGCAGUGGGGAAUCUUGCGCAAUGGGCGAAAGCCUGACGCAGCCAUGCCGCGUGUAUGGUGAAGGUCUUAGGAUUGUAAAAUACUUUCACCGGUGAAGAUAAUGACUGUAGCCGGAGAAGAAGCCCCGGCUAACUUCGUGCCAGCAGCCGCGGUAAUACGAAGGGGGCUAGCGUUGCUCGGAAUUACUGGGCGUAAAGGGAGCGUAGGCGGACAUUUAAGUCAGAGGUGAAAUCCCGGAGCUUAACUUCGGAACUGCCUUUGAUACUGGGUGUCUUGAGUGUGAGAGAGGUAUGUGGAACUCCGAGUGUAGAGGUGAAAUUCGUAGAUAUUCGGAAGAACACCAGUGGCGAAGGCGACAUACUGGC
rnacentral:rRNA from 1 species